CGGAGGGUGCGAGCGUUGUCCGGAUUUAUUGGGUUUAAAAGGGUGCGUAGGCGGCCGUUUAAGUCUGGGGUGAAAGCCCGCUGCUCAACAGCGGAACUGCCCUGGAUACUGGAUGGCUUGAGUACAGACGAGGUUGGCGGAAUGGACAGAGUAGCGGUGAAAUGCAUAGAUACUGUCCAGAACCCCGAUUGCGAAGGCAGCUGACUAGGCUGUUACUGACGCUGAGGCACGAAAGCGUGGGGAGCGAACAGGAUU
rnacentral:rRNA from 1 species